rnacentral:lncRNA from 12 species
GGUCUCUGUAAUUUUCUCAAUGCUUGUCCUCAGAGUUGUGUAUACUGCUUUUUCCUAAAAUGCUCAACCCUUGCUGAAGGUUUUCUGUAGGAAAAGCUCUUGGAUGGUUUUGUAUGUUAUGUUUUUGAAGCAUACAAUGAAGAUGGCAAAGGCAACUUAAGCAGAGAAGACUCUACAGAUGGUCUAGUAAUGUUUUUUUGCUAGAAACCAUCAAAGGUAUUUCAAAAGAAAAUAAUAAAACCCCUGACUUUUCUGCUGAAGACUGUGAUGAGCUGAAGAUUGUAU